AGCAACAAGAGAUAUACAAUUUCUCUUUUAUAAUUUGGUGAUAAAAAUCUGCACAAGAGUCUAGUUUAGUGGCACCCACAGUACUGUAAAGAGGCAAAGGAAAUGAGGCCUCGGGUGAGCAGUGAGAUGCGUCACCAUGAGUUGAAUAUGAAUGCAGGAACGGCAGGAGCGGCGAAGGCAAGUAAUGUAACACUGUUUUACUAAGUCUCUACGGGUGCUGUUAUGUGCAGUGUUGGAGAAGUACGUUGUAUCCGAUGAAUAAGUCACCACAGCAAGAGAUGAAAGUAUGAACCCGAGCUGUGGAUUGUGUUCUCUAUUUUCUGGACAAAGGGUUCUUGACACCCGCGCAUUGAACACUCUCACAUUGACCCAUUUUCUGCCCUUCUUUCCUCAAUCGGUGGCAUCACUGGAGCCUAAUGGGCUCUUCACAAGACACACGACCUUCUCGCUUUCCAUACAGAGAGAGAAGUGACGCUACAGUGAAACGGGGCAGCACUAAGCUUAGAGGCUCCUGUUGUCUGGGACUGGCUGGGACAUCUUCAAAGCACAGUCAAAUUGUUUCCUCUUUCUACAACAACCACGGAGAAGGAAGCUGGGCCUCUCAAGGUUCUGGAAGCAACACUUUCCACACAAAGAAAUCCUGCCUGAGCUCAUAGGCCAGGUGACACAAAAGAUGUUCAGCUUGGAGUGGGGCCCGGAGCAGACGGCUCCAAAGCCACCAAGUGUGGUGGAGCAGCCCUGCUACUUGGGCCUCCAAAAUCUGUGGACCCUACUGUGUUGGGGACAGGUAGCAGGUUAGCAAAGGAAAAGAGCUGGAGUUGGUGGCAAGCCAGAGGGGAGGAUCACCUCGUGGGCCUUGCGGGUUCUAAAGCCAGGUCAGCCACCUGCGGUAGAGAAUUCUCCACUUUCUGAAAAGCAGCUCCUGGUAAACUACUGGGCAUUUUGUAGAACCGGAUGGUAACUGCAGGACAAUCAGAGACCUCUAGCAGGUCUCCAAGAUUGUGACCUCUGUUAGGCCCACAACAGCAGCCAUCCUAAGAAGGACAUGGUACGUGAGGAUUGAGUCUGAGCAGGAGGAGAGACUGGACCACUGACAGGUGGAAUGACUCCACCAGCGUUUGUAGUCGGCCACUCCAGGACUGGCACGAUGGGCAUGUGAACAGUGGGGUCGCCAGGACAGCAGUGGAGGCCACAAUGGACCUAAAACGUACUGAUCAAUUUGAAUAUAUAUAAUUCACGCCUGCACACACACACACAAAAAGACAAGGCGGGAGCCUCAGUGGUAUGCUCAAGGUCCUGGGUUCAAUCCCCAGUACUUCCAUUAAAAUAAAUAAGUAAAUAAAUAAACCUAAUUACCUCUCCCCUGAAACAAAAAACAAACAAAAAAUACGUAUUUUUUGAAAAAGAGAGCUUUAAAAAAAAGAUGAAUGACACAGGAAAAGACUAUUUGCAGGUCUAUCACACGCAGUUUAUCAGAGUAUUCUAUAAAGAGAUCUGAGAAUGUGAUCAGAAAAACACAAACCAUGCAAUAAAAUAUGGCUAAAAAUCACAUAGUUCAUGGGAAAGAUAAUGUCUUUUUUCACAUACGAAAAUAUGUACCACCUACCUGUAAUGAGAGAAAUGCACAUUUAAAUAGCAGUGAAAUAUAAUUUAUAACCUGUGACUUUGGCAAAUAUACAAGUCUGAUAACAUACUGGGUUCUCCAGGUUGCAGAAACAGGAACUGCAUGAGACCUCUCAGGGUGUCCUAGAGUCCCUGUCCUGACCUGUUACUCCCGACUCCUUGGGGCGACAAUACCAGGGACCCAGAGAGUGCAACACCUUAGUGAAGGCACAUGACAGCUGGAUGAGGUGUAUGUGGUACCAGCAGUAGCUCUGUGGGCAUAACUGCCUGUGCACAUCUAUUUGAGCAGGCUACAGGGCAUGGUGGGGGAGGAGUAUUGACUCAAGUAAACCAAGCUCCCAAGGGGCCAGAAGGUAAAGUAAGUCACCUCGAUGGGAGACGCUCCUUUGCAAGAAUGUAAUUAUCUGAAACCAUAAACCAUCACUGAGGCACAUGGAACCAAGCAGAGAGGUCUUGUAUUGGGGAAGCCUGAAGAGCCAUCACAAUAACCACGUGCCACCAGUUAGGUAAGUGUGGCUGAUAUAUUAUCUCCUUAAUACUUAUCCAUUACUCAUCCAUUUCAACAAAUGAAUGUAGGUGCUGGGCCCUGGUCUAAUGAAUGGGACAGAGUAAGGGAAAAAGCAGUCCAAAUUGGAUUGUCCCAGUAACGCGGUGGGGGCGUCAGAUGUGGGGGGAGGUGGUAGGAUCACAAAAAAGCACUUAUACAACAUGUCAGGUCUGGGGCAGCUGCUCAGAAACUCAAAACCAUGUUAGGGCACCGAGGGGCGCCUCCAGUGAAAGUGGGGAGGGAGGUUGCUCAAAACAGGCCCCGUUAGGUUUUCUUAGGGCCGGGGUACCACAAGGAAAUGAAUUCAGAGAACUAUCUGGCCGAAACGCUGUUUCUCCCUAGUGUUUGCUAGUGGAGGGCUGACUCCUGCUGGGCAUGUCCACAGAGGGCCUCAGAGCUAAUCUGUCGGGAGGGUGGGUAGGGUUCCGGGAGAACACGUAAAAGAGAAAAGCCAGGCGGGCAGAGAGUCCGGGAGUCAAGAGCCAAGGCAGGGUGAGGCAGGAACCUGACCCCAGAUGCCACCUGCCCUUAACGGGAGCCGUCGUGCUACAGGCCUGGCGCCAGCAAACCCGUGUGUGUGCCACCAGCAGCCCUUCUCCCCUCCAAGGUCGACUUCCUGUUCUCACGGUUUCCCUCCUGUGGACUCUAUCCCUUAGCGGGGCCUCUGCUCCAGACCCGGGCUGUGUCUUGGGGCAGGGUGAUCAGCCCCGCAAGUCGACAGCCUACUAGCUGUGUGACCCUGGACAAGUGUCUCCACCUCUCUGGGCUUGGCGAUCACGUCUGUGAAAUGAGGAUGGUAACAGCGUCAAACCGCUCUAGGGUCUCCAGGAUCCAAGUGGGUUCAAACUUAUCAAAGAAUGCAGUGCAGUGCCUGGCACGUGACUGUCAUGUAUGUGAUCAAGGUUCGUUCCCCGCAGGCUGGACAAAACUGAUGAGUCAGUUUAGGGCAAGGGCCGACGGUGCUAGUGUCCCAGUCCCUACUACAGCUCACUAGAGGCUUUGCGGAAAACCAAGGAAAGAAAUGUGCGCUCCCCUAGCGAUCCCGGGGUCUCAGUUAGGGAACCUCGGGAAGACAGUAGGACGGAGGCUGCUGCACAGUCACGGUGGUUCCUGGCCCGGCUGUUAGUCCCCUCCACGCCCAAGGUCGGAGCUCUGUCUGGCGCCGCCCGGCUGAUUCUAAUCUCCCGGAUGCCCAAUCAAGGCCCCGGGGCUUCCUUCGGGAGUAAGCGGACCACAGCUCCCUCUAACCAUCACUCUCCAGUCGCCCAGCUACAGCACCCGUCUUCAGCCAGGAGCUGGUAUUUGUGCCACGGGCGGCGCUGCUUCCAGCUCCCCGCCGUCUUCUUCAGAUCUGUGGUGCUGGAGUCGCGAGGCCAGGGGCGGAGCGGGACCAAGGUGGCACCGUGGUGGCCACGUCCCUUGGGCGUAGAGGGGCGGGGCAUGCAAACAGAGGCUCGUUCUCCGGGAAAGAUGGAGGCGGGGGGAGCAAAAGGAGGUGCGAAAGUUGACCAGGAAUGUGGAGGACAUCUACAACUUCAGUGGCCUGGAGAUUACACAGGAUAGAAAGCCAGAAAUGUCGACUGGGGUGACAUUGCUCACCGUGACUUCAAUGUGGAUGGCGGAGAGGACGGUGGCGGCGAAGGCAGUCCAUUAGAUAUCGCUUUUUGGCCCUUUGGCUAAGAUCAAGUGUAGUAUCUGUUCUUAUCAGUUUAACAUCUAUAUACAUUCUCUACCUGAGAACGAAUUACUAAAUGGAUCUUUAGGGCAAGGAGCUGGACUAAGAGCUUGCUCCGUCUACUCCACGUAUCGACCUGGUAUUGCAGUGUUUCCAGGAACGGUGCCCUCCUAUGAAGUGUGAACAGCAGACUGAGUGUGUUCCGGUUUGCAUUUUCCUGUAAUCUUUCAAUAUGGCGUGUCGCUCUUUCUUUUUUAACGGUGCAGAUCCUGUUAGUUUCUUCUGUUUUUUUUAACUUAGGUUCUUAUAUGGUGUGAAAGGGAAAUGCUUUGUUUUUUAAUACCUUUGCUCUUUGUUGUAGGUUUGAUGGAGUUCAGCAAGAAAGGCUCUCUGCUCUAGAAAGUUUGCUUUAACUUUUCUAAAUGCACAAUUCAAACCAAGUAGUAAGUGUGUUUAUUAAAAACAACAACAACAAAAACUAAACUAAACCACAAGAAAAUUAAGUAACUUGUCCUAGCUCGCCUAACUAGAAAUUAGCCAAACUUAGCUUUGAACCAAUGCUACGAAAGGGAAAAGAGGAACAGAGGGACACGUGGAAACUGAGAACACAGGUUGUCUUGUGAUUCGUCUACAGUCUUGGAAAUUCUUUACCAUUUCUCUUAUACCUGGGCCUGACACUCAAGAAGGAAGUUGUCACUUGAUUAUUUGAUAAAGGAGGUGAAAGUGGCACUCUCACCCCACCCUUCAUCUUCUGUGUUAGCCAGGGAAGGUGUUAAUGAACAAAUGGGAGUGAGGAGGGGCGGAGUGAACGAAGGGCCCAGCUUGUCAUAGCAGCACCAAUACUGCGGACCUACCCCAGUAGGUCUUGACAGCCUCACAUCUGUAGCCUUUUCUCCCCACAAGAACUCAGCCCAGGACCUAGAGCACGGAGGACUGACUGCAGAGACCAUUCUACCAUUCCUACAUCGAGCAUUCACAUGUUCAUGGAGUGCCUGCUACGUUGAAGGCACCGCUGUAGCUUCUGAGCACACAGCACUCGGUGAAAUGGAUGAGGACCUGCCUCAUGGAGUACACACUAGAGAGGGGAGAGGGGAGAGACAGGCAAUAACUACAGGAGUUAAUUGCAGGUGGUGAUACAUGUCAUGAAGGAAAAUAGAAGAGGGAGAUGUGCUAGACAGGGAACGUGGGAGGGAACUACUCUACAUGGGGGAGGGGUAUGGCUCAUGAAGGCUCUCCAUUGCGACAUUAGAGCCGAGGUUUCAGUGACAAAGAGAAAGGUAAGCAUUCCAGACAGAGGGACAGACUAGUUGGGACCUACCCGCUUCCCCGCGUUGGCUCGCCCAGCUGGGUCAGAUGCCAGCUGCUGAGUGGAUGUUCUUCCUCAGAGCUGUCUCCCCACCAGACUAAGCGCUGAGCCCAGGGGCUGGUUCUUCCCAUCCACAGCUCCACAGUGCCCAGCACUGUGCCUGCCGCACUGUAGGCAAUCAGGACGGGAAAUCUGGCGGGAAUUCACGAUUGCAUGAUGGAGUGAUUACAGGUACUCCAGGGGCAUCCAUCCGUAGCUGGAGGUCUCCUGCUCUGGGAUCCUUGAGACCUUGGUGGGGGUCGGCAGGGAAUGCCUGUAAAGCCCUGCACCUCUAGGCAAGGUCUGGGCAGGACUGAACUCUCAGACCUUCACUGGGGAGAAGGGGUUUCUUGGAGGAGAAUAACAAGCCAUGGGAGAAAUGACACGGGAGAGAGAGGCCCCCCCUCAAGGCCUGGCGGGCUGAAACCCUGGGCUGAGAGUCCUCGUGAGUCCUGUCCCUCACCAGGAGACUGGCUUGGAAAAGCCACUUUCCCCUGGGAGCCUCGGUUUCCUCGGUGUGUAGGAGGCGCUUAUGAUUCCCUACCCCUUUCCCGAGGACAACCCACGCGCUAGAGCAGGGGACGGUACAGGGUGGGUGGAGCUCACCUAGGAAACGGUUGGGGACAUCCUUGUCUCCGCAGCAUCCCAACCAAGUCCCUGUCUGAGUGGCAAGUGAAGGGAAGAGAAGGGUCUGCAGGAGUAGGGUGGGGAGGGGGAGAAGCGGAUGCCCGGGAGCAGCUGCAGCCUGGGAAUCACAAGUCCCAUAUUCCAACCCCCAGCUUUGCUUUGCUUCUUAAGCAUAAAAUGGGGAAAACGCAACCUACUUCUGAGAAUGAGCAUGAAAAGAAAAAAAAAAAAAAAAAAGUGUGACAGGGCCUUUCAGGUACCUUUUCCCCUACCGGACGCCCUUUCAGAGGGAACUCCCCCCCCAAACCAAGUGCCAGGCCCAGCCAAGGGCUGGAAAGGAGCAGAUGCUGUCCCCUGGUGGAUGUGUCUGUCACUGCCUGAUCCCUGAAGAACACUGGAGGAGUAAGGGGGGGAAGCUGUACGGGUUGCUUUGCCCCCUGGAGUCUUCCUCUCAAACAGGGCCUUUCCUACAGUUUGAGGUUGAGAAGAGAAAAUCCACCCUUUCAAGUUUUUCCCUGGAGGUGGGAUCAUAUUUAAAGGGACAUCAUUUGAGCAGGAAAUGUCAUGUCAAUUACAUUUCCCAUGCUUUCCUCUGAGGGCCUAAUGGCAGGGGCAGGGCAAGCUGAGGCAGGAGGAGGCUGCAGGGCGGGGAAGGCUUGAGGAGCUCACUUGCAGCCGUGUGGUGGUGUCUGCGGGGACAGAUGUGAAACCGUGCCCCAAAGGGUUAAACAGAAACUGGUGACCAACAGAAAUUCUUGAGUUCGUAAUACAGGUAAGGGAAGAGCUUUCUAAAAACCCCUUGGCUUGUAACCUGCCUUCACUGACCAAGCGUGCCUUAGUUAUUUUUUGACUCCUCAACCAGCCCGAUAGAUAACACCUCUGACCUAUGGGUCCCUGUGGUAACAGGGGCUUCGGUUGCUUUCCGGGAACUUGGAGUCGGCUCCUGUCCAUUUCAAGCUGGCUAGGACUGGUUGGGCCCGCAGACCCUGAAGUCGGGCGUGCGCAGGUGUGGGAUGAACCGCUAUCUGACAUCAGAGGGAUGAAAACUCCACCCUCGGAUCUUGCUAAGCCCCUCCGUUUUUUAAAUUUUUUUUAACAAGCUUCCCAUGAGGAAGCAUGACACUCAGCUAAGCUGGUGCAGAACACGGGUUACCUCACCUCUUCCUGGCCUCCAAUCCCCCUUCCCCAGUCCUGAGACCAAACCUGCUUCUUUAUCCCACAAAGAUCUCAAGCCCCUUGACGUUGCGGGAGUAGACUUGAGAUUUGUUCUCCUGUCUGUCUGUCUCCACGCUUGGCUGCCUUGUGAAUAAACACUUUCUCUGCCGCAAACCUCAGCAUCUCGGCGCAGACGAAGCUGGCUCGGGAACAGGUCCACACGGGGACAGACGAACAGCAUCCCUCUGCACGGAGCCUGACACUUGGGGAGGCCUCGGCUGGAGCAGGGGACUGGGGGGAUUGGCAAGAAACAGUAACUGGAGCCCCAGGAGGGUGAUAAUGCCCCGGAAGCAACAGCCCCAAGGGGAGGGACAACGGAAACUAGAGAGAGGCGGCGGGGCAGAGGCGAGGGGAGAGAGCCAGGCCCACGGCCCGAAGGGAACGUGCCCACCGCCCCGUUGUCCAAGCUGCUGGGCUCCUCGGAGCUGUCACAACAGGGGCCAAUCCCCAGUGACCUUAUAUGUUUGAUUCAGUUUUUUUACUUGACAGGAGAUUUCUCUGCCAAGUCAGCCAUGAUUGUCUGGCCUACGUCGUAAGGAGUGUAGGUUCGAAUAGUGGUUCUCAGAUUUGAGGCUACGUCAGAAUCACCCGGAGGACUGGAUAAAAGCAGAUUGCUCGGGCCACUUCCAGGGUUUCCGACUCAGUCGGUCUUGGGCUCUCGGGCUCAGGAUCUCUGACAAGUCCUGUGGUGAUACGGAUGCUGCGCAGGCUGGGGACUAACUGUACUAUAAGGACCGCUGGCUUGGAAGAUGAGUUCCAAUCCCAGCCUUAACAUUUCCCACUGAGCCCUCGGGGCAGAUUCCUUAUGUCUCUCAGCUUCAACCUCUUCUAUAAAACGGGAUGAAAAUACUUACCUCUUAGCAGCUCUAAGUUUAUCUCAACCAGUAAAAAAAAAAAAAAAAAAAAAAAAAAAAAGUUGGCCCGGGGAGUCAGUUUAAUCUUCCUCACAGAAGAUACAAAGUGACAUGUACAAAUUGACCACCAACUGCCGUUUCUUUUCCAGCGUGUGUGACCUCAAGCAUGGCUCCUCAGUCUUUAACGUGGACACGAGUCCCCUGUGGACCUCAUGAAAAUGCAGAUUCUGGUUCACUAGGGGUGACGGACUGAACCGCGCCCCCAAAGUUCACCUACUGAAGCCCUGUUUGGAGAUGAGGCCUUUGGGAGGCAGUGAGGUUUAGACGAGGUCACGGGGAGGCGGGGCUCCUACUGGGGUGAGUCCCCGUGUGAGAUGAGGCACCAGAGAGCUGCUUCUUUCUCCAACACGUGACGACACGGAGAGAAGUCGGCCAUCUGCAAGCCAAGAAGAGCGCUCUCGCCAGAACCCUCCCAGGCGGGCGCCCCGACGGGGGGCUUCCAGUCUCCAGAACUGUGAGGAAAUAAAUUUCUGUUCUUUGAGCCCCUGGCCUGUGGCGUUUUGUUCCGGCGGCCCUACCAAACUGGGAGCGGAGGUCGGCCUGCUGCCUGCGUUCUGCGUCUCCCACCAGCUCCCGGGUGGUGCGGCCGCUGCUGUACGCGGACCACGCUUUGAGCAGCAAGGGUCUGGAACAGAUGACUGGAAAGCUCCCCGAAAGGCUGUAUAUUUUCCCUGAUGAGGAGGACUUUAAAUGGUCUCCUGCAAAUCUACGACAGAGAUCUGUUCGUGCCGUCCCCAACCCCUAACAGGUCUGGCCCAUCAGAGACGCUCAGCAAAUCACUGUCAGGGAAAGGAGUGGAGGAGCCGAGGGUUGUGUCUGACAGUUGGGGCCGCCUGGCCUCGUGGGAAGAGCUCUGGACUUGGAAGACCUCUGGAAGCGUCGUGGGAACUGGAAAAUACUGCAACGCCUGGCAUUCACCCGUUUGCUCCCUAUUGAAUGGUUGGUCUUUUAUAGUAACUUCCAGGAGCUCUUUAUGUAGUAGAAAGAUAAGUACUUUUUCUGUGGUUUGGGUUGCAAAUAUUUAUCCUUACUCUACUUGUUUUGUCAUCAAUCGCCCGUAACUGAUGUGACACAGGCGGGCGGGUGGAGACAAGGCCAGGCCAGAAGCCGUUCCUGCCCUCAGGGUGCGUCCAACCCAGGAUGGGGACUGGAACACGUGUGAAAGUGGCCAGAACAGCAGGCAGGACACAGGAGGAGACCAGAGAGAGAGAGAGAGGAGCACUUGGGGUAUUUGGACCACAGCAACCCCCUCCUCAGGGAAACCAAAUGAGUGGGUGUCAGACGGCCUGAUACACACAGAUCUGAACAGAGAUCGUGGGACGACGAGAGGCCUUCAGAGUCAUGUCAGGCGCAGGCUAAGCACAUUAGAUAUCGUGUCAUUUGACCCUCAUUUCCGUUCGUUCAACAAAUAUUGAUCAAGUGCCAAGGACAGACGUACCGAGCACUGUCCUGGGUGCUGAGGAUAGAACAGCAAUCAAACUCUGUACCAUCAAGGUGAAAGGCAAUGCAGCCAUGCCGUCUGCAUAUUUGUGAAUUUACGGCUAGAUCUAGGUGUCCGUACGUCUGUAUCUGCAUGCAUAUCUGUGUCAUGUGGCAACCAUGGGUGUCAAUAACGACUUGGCAGCCGGCAGAAAAAUAAAACCAGGUAAAGUGGGGUGUGAAACAGGAAUGCUAAGUGGGGGGUAGGUGGAGGUAAUUCACAGCACUGUAAGAUGGAAUUACCUCUCUUUUACAGCCAAGAAGUGACUUUCCCCAGAGCGCACGUAUUAAGUCAUUCCCGUGGGCUCGCAUUCCCACGUGUAGCUUCACAAGUCCCCUGAUCUGAGCGGCACUGUCAUUCUCCCCAUUCCCCAGUUUAAAGAAACGGAGGCCCCGUGUAGUUAGCAGGCCGCUCCAAUGCAAACCCUGACUGUGCUCCCGUUCAGCUGCGUGACCUCUGGCAAGCCGCUCAGCCUCUCGGCACGUCAGUCUACAACAGUGCUUUCCACUAGAAAUACGUGAGUCACGUGUGGAACUUUAAAUUUUCUUAGACACAGGAGAAAAAUACAGAGACAGGUGGAAUUCAGUUUCGUUGUUUAUUUAACUGAGGAUAUCUAAACUAUGACUUCAA